rnacentral:rRNA from 1 species
UACGUAGGGUCCGAGCGUUGUCCGGAAUUACUGGGCGUAAAGAGCUCGUAGGUGGUUUGUCGCGUUGUUCGUGAAAACUCACAGCUCAACUGUGGGCGUGCGGGCGAUACGGGCAGACUAGAGUACUGCAGGGGAGACUGGAAUUCCUGGUGUAGCGGUGGAAUGCGCAGAUAUCAGGAGGAACACCGGUGGCGAAGGCGGGUCUCUGGGCAGUAACUGACGCUGGAGGAGCGAAAGCGUGGGGAGCAAACAGG